ensembl:antisense 1700025N21Rik RIKEN cDNA 1700025N21 gene
GAUGCCAGCCAUGGCAGCAGGAGUCCCAGCAAGGGGGUGAUCUCCCUCACUGGGGCUCUCAACAACUACACGACUGAAGAAACAAAGUCACACAACCAGAGUCAAGCUUUCAUCUGCACUCUGCUCAUCCGUGCCUCCAAUGUCCCCUGGCUAAGAUCAUAGGAACAGAAAGCGACCAUGUCCAAACAGGCACGAGGUGCUAAGAAACUUUACCUUCUUCCUGAGUAACCUGAGAGAUGUUGGACUUCUAACCAAACUCUCCAGACUCCAGCUUUUACGAAGAAGCCUGUGGUGGCCACGCUGCUACCCGAGGACUCUAUGGAUUCCACCUUGUUGAAUCACAGUUCUGACUGGCCUCACCUCUGGGGCUUUACACAACAUAGCCUGGCUGGGGUCCAGUGUAGAUUCUGAAGCAGAGCCCAGUGGGACCCAAACUUUACAAAGGAUGACCUGUGCCAUCACUUGCAUGCCCCCGAGGGCUGACCAUCAUAUUUCCAGCAUGUAGAGAGUAGCCGCAGGGAGGGACACCCAAGUCAAUUCAUCUCAUUAGAUUCUUCCCUGAACGCUAGAGUUCCCAGAACUCCCUAGAGUACAGAUGACUCCAAACACAUCGUCCCAAGAAAAACCCAUUUGUGGGAAUUACAUAGCCUUCACUUAAUAAAAUCUCACCUUUGCGUGCACCACUC